GGAAGUUGCGGCCGACCUCCCCUCGCCUCCGGACUCCGGCCGCGCGGCUGCUCCCCGCUUCCCACUGGCGAGAGGCUGGAGGCGGCGAAGGAGUCGGGGCGCGGGGGCGCGGGGGGCGGGGGGGCGUCUGCCUUUUAACCCUCCCCAGGAGGUCGUGCCUCUGAGCCCCAAAGCUGAAGGCCCCUCUUGGGGGUGGGUGCGGGCCGGAGGGGCCCGAUCCUUUCAGAGCCGGGCCGAGGUGAAGGAAAAGAAGGAAGUCCUUUGAGAUACAUUAUCUCACUGAAGCCUCAGCAACUCCGCGGUGUUCCCAGAGGUGAGGAAACACACUGAGAGACAGAACACGACUUGACCAGGGCCACCCUGUGGGGCACGCUGGCACCUGCACAGCCCAGCUUCACCUGGUUCCAGCCCUGCCCGCGCUCUGCUCCCCACUUCCCGUAACCCUGGGCUGGCGUCAGCAGGCAGGCCUGCCAGGAGGCUGGAGCUGCCAACGACCUAUUUUUCUGGGCAAGAAGAGCCAUUUGGAGUUAGAGGUCUCAGCUGUGAAGCCAGAACAAUAAAAAUAAAAACAGCACGGACUCCUGGGCAGCCUGGACCAGGGAACCAACUGCCCCAAGAGUUGCUGCUCACCAGGCUGGAAGGCAAGUGGGGUUGGGGGGAUGGGAGAUGGGAGUGACCUUACCGAGCCCCUGCUAUGUCCUCCGGCCCUUACAGAGUAAGGGUAAUCUCCAAGGUUCACAACAGGCCCUUUGUCUGGGUGGCCAGACCAGUCAGGAUUUGAACUCAGUUUUCCAAACAGUAACAAUUCCCAUCUGUUCAGCAGCUACUAUGCUUUACAGACUUGUGACAUUCAUACCACACCUGGGGGGGUGAGCUAAUCAUUCCCUCAUUCUACAGAUGAGGCAGCUGAGACUUCAGGAGGCCUCUGCUCACACGCCACCUCCUUGAGAGGCCUUGCCAGACCACCCUGUUAAAGUAGUCACCCUCACGCCUGCCCAAUAUGCCCUACCCUCUUCCCUAUUUUAUCUUCAUAGCAUGCAUCACGACCUGCUAAUAUUGUGUGUCUCCACUGCAUUUUGUCUGUCUCCCUAACUAGCUCCAGGUCAGUUUAUCCUAGUGGCUUGCACUCCAGCGGUCUCUCAGACUAGCCCCGUGGGGCAAGUUAUUUUGAUGAUCUGUGCUUCCUUCGGGGUAAUGAUAGGACCUUACCUGAAAGGUUUCUUGUGAGGGUUAAAUGAGUUAAUAUCGGUUAAGUGUUGGCCGCUGCCAUUGUUUUGUCCCAGAGCUGUAGCUCCAGGGUCUUUAACAGUAAACAAUAGGUUGUCAAUAAAUAUGUAUUAAAUUUAAAAA
rnacentral:lncRNA from 1 species